GAGGGAUCAUUACCGAGUUUACAACUCCCAAACCCCUGUGAACAUACCACUUGUUGCCUCGGCGGAUCAGCCCGCUCCCGGUAAAACGGGACGGCCCGCCAGAGGACCCCUAAACUCUGUUUCUAUAUGUAACUUCUGAGUAAAACCAUAAAUAAAUCAAAACUUUCAACAACGGAUCUCUUGGUUCUGGCAUCGAUGAAGAACGCAGCAAAAUGCGAUAAGUAAUGUGAAUUGCAGAAUUCAGUGAAUCAUCGAAUCUUUGAACGCACAUUGCGCCCGCCAGUAUUCUGGCGGGCAUGCCUGUUCGAGCGUCAUUUCAACCCUCAAGCACAGCUUGGUGUUGGGACUCGCGUUAAUUCGCGUUCCUCAAAUUGAUUGGCGGUCACGUCGAGCUUCCAUAGCGUAGUAGUAAAACCCUCGUUACUGGUAAUCGUCGCGGCCACGCCGUUAAACCCCAACUUCUGAAUGUUGACCUCGGAUCAGGUAGGAAUACCCG
rnacentral:rRNA from 1 species